rnacentral:rRNA from 1 species
GACGGAGGGUGCUAGCGUUGUUCGGAAUUACUGGGCGUAAAGGGCGCGUAGGCGGCCAUGUAAGUCGGGUGUGAAAGCCCGGGGCUCAACCCCGGAACGGCAUCCGAGACUGUAUGGCUGGAGACCGGAAGAGGUGAGUGGAAUACCCAGUGUAGAGGUGAAAUUCGUAGAUAUUGGGUGGAACACCGGUGGCGAAAGCGGCUCACUGGUCCGGUUCUGACGCUGAGGCGCGAAAGCGUGGGGAGCAAACAGG